rnacentral:rRNA from 1 species
UUAAAUUGAAGAGUUUGAUCAUGGCUCAGAUUGAACGCUGGCGGCAGGCCUAACACAUGCAAGUCGCACGGUAACAGUAAGCAGCUUGCUGCUUUGCUGACUAGUGGCGGACGGGUGAGUAAUGUCUGGGAAACUGCCUGAUGGAUGGGCAUUACUAUUGGAAACGGUAGCUAAUACCGCAUAACGUCGCAAGUCCAAAGUGGCGGACCUUCGUGCCUCUUGCCAUCUGAUGUGCCCAUAUGGGCUUAGCUUGU